rnacentral:rRNA from 1 species
UACGGAGGGUGCAAGCGUUAUCCGGAUUCACUGGGUUUAAAGGGUGCGUAGGUGGGCAAGUAAGUCAGUGGUGAAAUCUCCGGGCUUAACCCGGAAACUGCCAUUGAUACUAUUUGUCUUGAAUACUGUGGAGGUCAGCGGAAUAUGUCAUGUAGCGGUGAAAUGCUUAGAUAUGACAUAGAACACCAAUUGCGAAGGCAGCUCACUACGCGAAUAUUGACACUGAGGCACGAAAGCGUGGGGAUCAAACAGG